rnacentral:rRNA from 1 species
CCAGACUCCUACGGGAGGCAGCAGUAGGGAAUCUUCGGCAAUGGACGAAAGUCUGACCGAGCAACGCCGCGUGAGUGAAGAAGGUUUUCGGAUCGUAAAACUCUGUUGGUAGAGAAGAACGUUGGUGAGAGUGGAAAGCUCAUCAAGUGACGGUAACUACCCAGAAAGGGACGGCUAACUACGUGCCAGCAGCCGCGGUAAUACGUAGGUCCCGAGCGUUGUCCGGAUUUAUUGGGCGUAAAGCGAGCGCAGGUGGUUUAUUAAGUCUGGUGUAAAAGGCAGUGGCUCAACCAUUGUAUGCAUUGGAAACUGGUAGACUUGAGUGCAGGAGAGGAGAGUGGAAUUCCAUGUGUAGCGGUGAAAUGCGUAGAUAUAUGGAGGAACACCGGUGGCGAAAGCGGCUCUCUGGCCUGUAACUGACACUGAGGCUCGAAAGCGUGGGGAGCAAACAGGAUUAGAUACCCUGGUAGUCCACGCCGUAAACGAUGAGUGCUAGAUGUAGGGAGCUAUAAGUUCUCUGUAUCGCAGCUAACGCAAUAAGCACUCCGCCUGGGGAGUACGACCGCAAGGUUGA